rnacentral:rRNA from 1 species
GCGCAACCCUUGUCCCUUAGUUACCAGACACGUUAUGGUGGGAACGCUAAGGAGACGUGCCGGUGGACAAACCGGAGGGAAGGUGGGGAUGACGUCAAGUCAUCAUGGCCCUUACGGCCAGGGCUACACACGUGCUACAAUGGUCGGUACAAAGGGUUGCCAAGCCGCGAGGUGGAGCUAAUCCCAUAAAACCGAUCGUAGUCCGGAUCGCAGUCUGCAACUCGACUGCGUGAAGUCGGAAUCGCUAGUAAUCGUGAAUCAGAAUGUCACGGUGAAUACGUUCCCGGGCCUU